rnacentral:lncRNA from 1 species
AAUACUUUGUUCCUUGUUUUGUUUGCUUAAGCUAUAUUUUAGAUGCUUAACUGUAUUGUAUCAUUUGUAUGUAUUUAUUUGUCUGGAAAAGACCCUUUUUUUGUUAGUUUAACUUUCUGUUUCAUGGGUUUUAGUUCUUGUGGAUAUUUUUAAGAAUCAAAAUCAGUGUAGAAUUUGAUUAUUUUGACAUAGUGAUAGAUUAUAGUAGGUGGCGAAUCAGAAUUUUUACUAAGGUAAUUUUAAAAUUAAAAAAUAAAACACGCCCCUGAUUAUAGUAGCAAAUCAGUACAGAAAGGUCUAGUGUCUUCAAUCACAACAACAACAACCACCCAGUAUAUUCCACUUAGUGGGGUAUGCGGAGGGUAGUGUGUACGCACACCUGUUUUCAAAUAGACCCCCGGCAUCCUUCCCUCCAAGAACUUCUCACCUUGCUCUUGGGGAGACUCGAACUCACAACCUCUCGGUUUGAAGUGGGGGUUGCUUACCAUCNNNNNNNNNNNNNNNNNNNNNNNNNNNNNNNNNNNNNNNNNNNNNNNNNNNNNNNNNNNNNNNNNNNNNNNNNNNNNNNNNNNNNNNNNNNNNNNNNNNAGACCCCCGGCAUCCUUCCCUCCAAGAACUUCUCACCUUGCUCUUGGGGAGACUCGAACUCAUAACCUCUCGGUUGGAAGUGGGGUUGCUUACCAUCAGUGUCUUCAAUCACAAGACCAGAAAUAACCUACUAUUUGCGUGGUCAAAUAUUAACUUUAGGGAAGGAAGUUGUAUAGUCAAAGGUGUCCUGAAGAAAUUCAGGCAAAUGGAUGAUGAGCUGUGCAAAAGUUUAGCUAAAGCAAGAUUGAAGCUCCAUUAGAACAGAGAUAGUGAGGACUUCAUGUUACAAUCUAUACUACUACGAUUGAAGUAGUUUAGGGAUCCGGUGAGUAGGGAAUUCACGGGUUACGAUAACUUCAUGGUUUAGUGAAGAGUUUAAGUUAAUUUUUACACCAUCAGGUCGCUAUUUACCUAUUUAUAGCAGGUAACUUGUCUUAUUUCAAGAUUACUAGUUUCACAUUUUAAGGAGGAACACAUGUAGAUAUGCGAAAAUUCUUUAGAGAAGACAUGCAGUAGAAAAUACAGGUAAACAUGACUGGAUUUCCUGUGCUCAAGCAGCCCAACAUACUACCUCAUCUGCAUUCACUCUAAGUAUAGCUGAAAUUCGACAAGGAGGGAUGAAGUUGCGUGCUAAGUUAUAAGACAAUGAUGUGAUCAGGUUGUGUCGGCUGCUGCACCAGCAAUGUCUUGAAUGUUAACUUUAAGUGGCAAGCAUUAGGGUAUCUAAAACCAUUUGGCCAUUCUAUGAUUCACAGUGAGGUGAAUUCUAUACACCUCUGCUGAUUGAUUGUGUUGUUAGAAGCUUCUUCGGCAUUGUAAUUUCUAAAACUGAAUUAACAAAAAGCGCGGGGACAUGAUUAAUAUCUGAUUGAAAGCUUAGCAUAGAAUUGGAAAUAAGAGGGAUUUCAGUUUUUCUAUAGAGAGGCUAUUGAGCUCUUUUACUAUGUUGUUUGUUUGUGUGUGAGCAGGUAUUCUAAGUGUACCCUCAUCUGAGCUUAGCGCUAAUGGGCCAAGGUAGUUCCAGCUCAAAUUUAGAGAAGUCUAAGUGCAUUUUUCUCCUAUUUUGGUCUCAUGAGUUCCAUUCCUUUCCUUUGCUGCUUGGGAAUGAAGGAUGAUUGAACAAAGUACAGCGUCUUGACUUUGUCUUUUGCUGUUCAAAGUGGGAGUUCAGCUGCUAUUUGCAGAUUGUGUUCUGCAAUCCUCUUAAUAACCAUACAUAUGACAAAACUGUCAUUGAACUCGUACGGCGUCAUGGAAGAGCAUAGUUUAUUGUUUUCGGUACUAAGAUAUUUGCAGAUAGGGUGUAUCUAGGACAUUAAGAGAUUCUAAUGCUACCCAAAUUGUAGAUUUUUCUUCAUGGUCUUUGUGUGUACUUGCAUUCGUGAAAUAUCAUUAAAAAUCGUGCUAGCUGCAUUCUAGUUUCUGACUUACUAUCUCGAUCUUUCAAUUUGGCAAAUCCUUAUGUUGAAAUGUGUGAGUCCUGUUUCUGUCAUUAUGCAGCUAGGAAUUGAAUUUAUAUCCUUGCCACGAGUAUUUGAUAGAUAAAUCAUCUUCUUCUAAUGUGCAUUACACAACAAUCACUUUCAUGAUCAGUACAACAAUCGUUAAUGCUUGCACCGAUUAAAGAAAAACGAUCAUUAAUGCUUUUCUUUGUUUUUGAUUACUACUUCUGAAUUUCCUCUUGUUCUUUUCUUUAAUGAGAUUAAUAAGAUGAAUAACAACUGAAUAAUCAAUUCCUACACCUUACGAGAAGAUUGAGUUCCAUACUACUGCCUAUAACUGGAAACGUGAUUUCAGGCAUAGAUUUCUUUAUCGCUGGAAAAUGUCUCUAAUUUCGAUAUCUUUCUUUAUUUGUAUCUUUAAAAUGUCUUAAAAGAUAGCAAACGAGUCGAUAUCAUUGGAUAUAACUUCAUAGCUUGUAAAAAAUAUCAAGAUUUCUAAUAACUACUCUAGGUAGGUGAAGCAGUGAAGUUUUAGAUGAAUUAGAUUUUAUUCUACGUCUUUCAAGUCGUAGUUACUCAUGGAAAAAUUUACC